GGGCUUAGUAUUUUGGAUUUAGGGUUUAGUAUUUUAGGUUUAUUAUUUACGGUUUAGUCACUAGGGUUGGGUUUCAGGGUUCCUAUUGGGUUUAGGGUCCAGUAUUUUGGGUUUAGGGUUCAGGGCAUUGGAUUUAUUGUUUGGGUUAAGCAUUUAUUAUUAAGGGUUUCGGGUGUAGUAUUGUUUGGUGUGGUUAUCUAAAUCCUUAUACCAACACACUUAUUCCCAACCCUACCCCUAUACCUCCACGUAAGUGUAAACAAAUUAUCUACAAACUGAUUUCUUAUACACUUAUAUAUCUUGUUAACCGGAUAACUUGUCCGUUCACCCUAAGCGAUAAUGUAUUAUAGUUCAUCUUAGCCGGGUAUUGUUAGAAUUACUCGUCGGUUGUAAAUAUUGACCGGUCAAAGAAUUU
rnacentral:lncRNA from 1 species